AAGACACUUGUUGAGUGCAACGAAACGACUAUACGUUUUCACUCCCUUUUAAGAAACAAAAUUAAAUGUUCUUGAAAUAUCGUUGGUAAAUAAUAAUAAAAUAAUACAAACUUAAUUCAGCGUAGUGAGAGAGAAAGAAUAACUGCACAAAACUUUUUCUCUUCGUAUAAACUCUUUUUUUUAUUUAUGGUUAUAAAAUUAAAUAAAUCAAAUAAGAACAACGUACAAAAUUGAACAAGAGUGUAUACGAAAAAAAUAAUGUGCAAUUAUCACUUCUUAAUAAAGUAUUUCAAACAAAUAGUUACGAUGUUUAAGUAAAAUUUUUUUUUUUGGUGGUAAAUUUGAAGUUAUAAGAAUAUAUAAAAUGAACACGUAAAAUAGUAAAAAGAAGGAAAACAUAAAAUGAAAGUACUAUAUUGGUGGCUGAAGCGCUACGCUCAGAGAUGCACUCAACUUUGCAAAAUAGAUGGGUUUCUUUAAAAUUUAUGUGGAGGGAUUACUCUAAAUUAGUUAUUGAUCUGUGGAAGAUAGGGGGGUUAUGUCCCUUGGAGAACUGUUGAAAACAUUCGUUAAUUGCCUUCAUCCUUUCGUUAUGUAACUUGAACGCAUAUUUAUCGGUAAACAAACUUUGUGAUUGAUAUUGUGAUUAAUGUGAGUUUAUUCUUCUCUAAAGUUUAUAUUCGGGAUAUGACUAUUCUCUUCCGACUUCCGACUACUCUUACUUUUAUAUUUGAUUGUAAUGAUACUGAUUAUUUGCGAGGUUUCUCGCUUUAGUUGAUUCUAUUUU
rnacentral:lncRNA from 1 species